UCUCAACAUCGGAUAUCUUGGCUCCCGUAACGAUGAAGAACGCAGCGAAAUGCGAUACGUAGUGCGAAUUGCAGAAUUCCGUGAACCAUCGAAUCUUUGAACGCAAAUUGCGCUCGAGGCUUCGGCCAAGAGCAUGUCUGCCUCAGCGUCGGCUACUACCC
rnacentral:rRNA from 1 species